GACUGUAACUGACGCUGAGGCACGAAAGCGUGGGGAGCAAACAGGAUUAGAUACCCUGGUAGUCCACGCUGUAAACGAUGAGUACUAGGUGUCGGGGGUUACCCCCUUCGGUGCCGCAGCUAACGCAGUAAGUACUCCGCCUGGGAAGUACGCUCGCACGAGUGAAACUCAAAGGAAUUGACGGGGACCCGCCCAAGUAGCGGAGCAUGUGGGUUAAUUCGAAGCAACGCGAAGAACCUUACCUAAGCUUGACAUCCCAAUGACAUCUCCUUAAUCGGAGAGUUCCCUUCGGGGACAUUGGUGACAGGUGGUGCAUGGUUGUCGUCAGCUCGUGUCGUGAGAUGUUGGGUUAAGUCCCGCAACGAGCGCAACCCUUGUCUUUAGUUGCCAUCAUUAAGUUGGGCACUCUAGAGAGACUGCCAGGGAUAA
rnacentral:rRNA from 1 species